GGAUAGCACGGGGAAACUCGUAUUAAUACCGCAUACGACCUACGGGAGAAAGGGGGCAGUUUACUGCUCUCGCUAUUAGAUGAGCCUAAGUCGGAUUAGCUAGAUGGUGGGGUAAAGGCCUACCAUGGCGACGAUCUGUAGCUGGUCUGAGAGGAUGAUCAGCCACACCGGGACUGAGACACGGCCCGGACUCCUACGGGAGGCAGCAGUGGGGAAUAUUGGACAAUGGGGGAAACCCUGAUCCAGCCAUGCCGCGUGUGUGAAGAAGGCCUUUUGGUUGUAAAGCACUUUAAGCAGUGAAGAAGACUCCGUGGUUAAUACCCACGGACGAUGACAUUAGCUGCAGAAUAAGCACCGGCUAACUCUGUGCCAGCAGCCGCGGUAAUACAGAGGGUGCAAGCGUUAAUCGGAAUUACUGGGCGUAAAGGGAGCGUAGGUGGCUCUAUAAGUCAGAUGUGAAAUCCCCGGGCUCAACCUGGGAACUGCAUCUGAAACUGUAGAGCUAGAGUAUGUGAGAGGAAGGUAGAAUUCCAGGUGUAGCGGUGAAAUGCGUAGAGAUCUGGAGGAAUACCGAUGGCGAAGGCAGCCUUCUGGCAUAAUACUGACACUGAGGCUCGAAAGCGUGGGUAGCAAACAGGAUUAGAUACCCUGGUAGUCCACGCCGUAAACGAUGUCUACUAGUCGUUGCGUCCCUUGAGGACUUAGUGACGCAGCUAACGCAAUAAGUAGACCGCCUGGGGAGUACGGCCGCAAGGUUAAAACUCAAAUGAAUUGACGGGGGCCCGCACAAGCGGUGGAGCAUGUGGUUUAAUUCGAUGCAACG
rnacentral:rRNA from 1 species